AACGAACGCUGGCGGCAUGCCUAACACAUGCAAGUCGAACGAGACCUUCGGGUCUAGUGGCGCACGGGUGCGUAACGCGUGGGAACCUGCCCUUAGGUUCGGAAUAACUCCCCGAAAGGGGUGCUAAUACCGGAUAAUGUCUUCGGACCAAAGAUUUAUCGCCUUUGGAUGGGCCCGCGUUGGAUUAGCUAGUUGGUAGGGUAAAAGCCUACCAAGGCGACGAUCCAUAGCUGGUCUGAGAGGAUGAUCAGCCACACUGGGACUGAGACACGGCCCAGACUCCUACGGGAGGCAGCAGUGGGGAGUAUUGGACAAUGGGCGAAAGCCUGAUCCAGCAAUGCCGCGUGAGUGGUGAAGGCCUUAGGGUUGUAAAGCUCUUUUACCCGGGAUGAUAAUGACAGUACCGGGAGAAUAAGCUCCGGCUAACUCCGUG
rnacentral:rRNA from 1 species